GGACAGCUGGCCGAGUGGCUGAAGGCACCUGACUCGAAAUCAGGAGUACCCUCACGGGUAUCGGGGGUUCGAAUCCCUCGCUGUCCGCCA
rnacentral:tRNA from 1 species